UGUUGUCAGACUCAGCCCACAAACAAACCUUCUGAGUCCAGGAUCAAAGCUUCGAGCUUUGGAAAAGAGUCGAGGGAAACAGACAUGGCGGCUAACUGCGCGAGGCGAACCCUACAAUUCUCUUCAGCUUCUGCAAAAACCCUUCUGUCCCGUUCGCCGUCUUCACCUUUCGCUUCCAAAGCUUCCAAGCUAACCGAACUCACUUCCCUCGAGCCCGCUUCUGCUCCUCGACUCGCUGCCCAGAAGCUUAAGUUCUCAAGGCUUCCGGUGGGGUUGGGCGGUGCGCAGUCGUUGAUCCCGUUGCACAGUGCUACCGCUUCUGCCUUGUUGACGUCGCUCCUGUCUUUGCACAACACCAGCUGGGGGUGCCUAUCAGAAGGUUUCGCUACUCCACUAUAGCAUGGCCCGAGCUGUUUCUAGGUACACACGGGAUCGCGGAGUUUGUUUCUUUACAGACUGUAGUUACGAUGACCUGACAUUCUGCAUGUCCUCGUUCGAAAUUUUGAAGACAAGAGAUCGGGAAUAUCUUGUUACAACUCUGCAACUAGCUUACUGUUGUUUUUGGAACAAUUGGUAAAUCGGCUGUUAUGCUUAUUGGUUUUAUUGGCAAUAAUGUUUGCAAUACAUUAUUGUAUCAUGACAAACAGAAUCUCUGAACUUCCCGACAUGGUCGAUUUCCUUAGAGCUCGUUUGAUUGCCA